rnacentral:rRNA from 1 species
GUGUCAGCAGCCGCGGUAAUACAGAGGUCACAAGCGUUAUCCGGAUUUAUUGGGCGUAAAGCGUUUCGUAGGUGGGUUCAUAAGUUAUCCUUUAAAGACUACGGCUCAACCGGAGGAAGGGGGAUAAUACUGUGAGUCUUGAUUUUUGGCGGGGCAUCUGGAACUGAUGGUGUAGUAGUGAAAUACGUUGAUAUCAUCAGGAACUCCAAGGGCGAAGGCAGGAUGCUAGCCAAUUAAUGACACUGAGGAACGACAGCUAGGGGAGCGAAAGGGAUUAGAAACCCCCGUAGUCC